rnacentral:rRNA from 1 species
UACGUAGGGCGCAAGCGUUAUCCGGAAUUAUUGGGCGUAAAGAGCUCGUAGGCGGUUUGUCGCGUCUGCCGUGAAAAGUCCGGGGGCUCAACUCCGGAUCUGCGGUGGGUACGGGCAGACUAGAGUGAUGUAGGGGGAGACUGGAAUUCCUGGUGUAGCGGUGAAAUGCGCAGAUAUCAGGAAGAACACCAAUGGCGAAAGCAGCUCUCUGGGACGGUACUGACGCUGAGACGCGAAAGCGUGGGGAGCGAACAGG